rnacentral:rRNA from 1 species
GAUGAACGCUGGCGGCGUGCUUAACACAUGCAAGUCGAACGAAAAGACGCUGCUCUUGUUGGUUUCUCGAUAGGCGAGCGGGUGUGUAACACGUGAGUAUCCUGCCCUUGACUUUCGGAUAACUUCAGGAAACUGGGGCUCAUACCGGAUAUGAUCUCCUGCUGCAUGGGGUGCGUUGGAAAGUUUCGGCGGUUGGGGAUGGACUCGCUGCUUAUCAGCUUGUUGGUGUGGUAGUGGCUUACCAAGGCUUUGACGGGUCGCCGGCCUGGGAGGGUGACCGGCCACAUUGGGACUGAGGUACGGCGCAGACGGCAACGGGAGGCAGCAGUGGGGAAUAUUGCAGAAUGGGCGGAAGCCAGAUGCAGCAACGCCGCGUGCGGGAUGACGGGCUUCGGGUUGUAAACCGCUUUCGCAUGUGACGAAGCGUGAGUGACGGUAAUGGGUAAAGAAGCACCGGCUAACUACGUG